GACGAACGCUGGCGGCGUGCUUAACACAUGCAAGUCGAACGGUGACGAGGAGCUUGCUCCUCUGAUCAGUGGCGAACGGGUGAGUAACACGUGAGCAACCUGCCCCAGACUCUGGGAUAACAGUUGGAAACAGCUGCUAAUACCGGAUACGAGGCGGAGAGGCAUCUCUACCGUCUGGAAAGUUUUUCGGUCUGGGAUGGACUCGCGGCCUAUCAGCUAGUUGGUGAGGUAAUGGCUCACCAAGGCGACGACGGGUAGCCGGCCUGAGAGGGCGACCGGCCACACUGGGACUGAGACACGGCCCAGACUCCUACGGGAGGCAGCAGGUGGGGAAUUUUGGACAAUGGGCGAAAGCCUGAUCCAGCCAUUCCGCGUGCAGGAUGAAGGCCCUCGGGUUGUAAACUGCUUUUGUACAGAACGAAAAAGCUACUGGCUAAUACCUGGAGUCCAUGACGGUACUGUAAGAAUAAGCACGGCUAACUACGUCGCCAGACG
rnacentral:rRNA from 1 species